GUAGAUUUCCUUUUUUUCGUAUAUUUUUUAAUGUGGUAAAAACAAUCAAUGCUUAAUUAGAUUAGAAUAAUACUCCACAUGUCUAGAAUAACGUAGCCAAGUGCCAACUGCUAAAGCCAUCACUGCUAAGCAGCCUCGUCGUUCGUCCGUCCGACAUCGACGUCAACGAUUACGAGUCCGACGAAGUUCGUCAUGAUGCUCCUCCAUAUUCGCGCCGAGAUCGUUAUUUUGAUUAUCCUGGUUCGUUUCCCCUUUUAUUUUUCCAGAUCUAAUUUUGCUCUACGAUUUUCUAUCUAACCUAAUAUUAGGAUUGUUGUCUUUAACGAAAUCUGGUUUUGUUUAUUUUUAAUGAUGGAUUUGGUGUUGUUUUGAUAUGUGAAUUAUGAAAUUAGGGUUUUUUGUAUGAAUUUUGUAUUCAUAUUGUUUUCAUUUUUAGAUUAGAGUACCAUGUGGUGGAUUGUUGAUGUCGGCAUGGGUUGUGUGAGAGGUAAAAUAGUUGGUUGUUGACUUCGCUGCUUCAAUUGCACCAUUGUGGUCCUUCCUUUUAUAGUCAUCAUCACUUUUCUUAUAAUUAUUUUUCUUUCUUUUUAAAUUCUAUUAUGUAAAUCUCUAUAUCGUAAUUCCCAAAAUCAAAUCUCUAUCAAAAAGUGUUUUUUUUUUACCUCAUUUUGGAUAGAUUAAACCAGAGAAUGAUACAACGAAGUUGGUUACCACUUACCAGGUACGAUCUAUAUGCAUUGUUUUUUUAGUUCUGAUUUUGCUAGCUUGUGUAGACGCCUGUCUCAGUACUUCUUCUUAUCUUAUUAAAUUACUUGUCUUUUAGUUCUGAUUUUGAUUUGAUCAAUUGUAUAGUAUAAUUCUUAUUCUGGAUUUCUAGUUUCAUGGUCUAUUUGCUGCAAAAAUCUAUUUGGAUUUUAAUAUACGAAUUUUCUCCUAUUAUUUUUUAAGUUUCAAAGGAAAAAUAGAGAUGACUCUUGGUAAGAUAAAGUCCAAAACAGAGAGAAAAUCAAAGAAAAUGAAGCAUGUUCCAGGUAAAAAUUCCCCUUUGUUGCCACCAAACACCAUGAAGAAUCUGGGUUUGAUGAGUUUAAUGGGGCUCGAUUUUCUGUGGCUAUCUUUAAUUUGUCAACAACAAUUAUUGAAGUUGAAAAUAUUGCUUUACCAACUAGGCAGCUACUCUGAAGAUUCUAGGGCUUGGGCUUGUUAUGAUCAUUGUUAUGACUCUAGUGACUGAAAUGAUCCAUUGAUAUGUUGCUUAAGUUUAGCAGGGAAGGAAAAUCUUCCUCUUAUAAUGGUCUCAUACUCUUAUGGGGGAUGCUUUACGCAACUAUAUAUGGUUCGAAGUUUGCUGCUACUUGCUGUUUUAGUUAACGAGGUUGGUGUUCUUAUAGUGUACCUGAUUGUCAUAGGUGCAUAUAAUUUGGGUAUUCCUAUCGUUUUCUUCCUACUCUUAUAGCAAGAAGUUACUCUUCUUUAGUGAUUACUUGUGAAUAUAUGAUGUCGAAAUUGGAUGAGUCCCCAUGUCUUUGAGAAAUGAUUUUGUGGAUGUCCCAUGGUGUUAUUGACGGAUUAAUAUUUUUGGGGUUUGAUGUUGAAUUUUGAACCUGAAUGCUAACUCUACAGGGUGUGUGCAUUGUUGUUUGAUUCAUUAUAAGUUGUAGUUUUGUACAACUGGUAGACAAUAGUUUGGGUUUUCGACUGAAUUUCAUGAAGGAGCUCAAUUUUUUUGGUUAAUAGUCUUGUUAAUUUAUACCACUUCUAAAAAACUAAUGAAUUGUGGUGGACUAAUUGUCUACUUGAGACUUUUUUGGUUUCAUUGUGAUCUUGUUAAUAGCAUUACUUACUGCUAUACUAUUUUGAUACUGAUUGCAGUGAGUUUGGUUAUAUAUCGUUUUCUUGUGGUACCCCUAAUUUGUAUCAUCCAUUACAGGAUCUCCCUCAAAUUCCCUAACAUGUUAAAUUGGGUGAUCUCAAAACUUGCUAUUUAAGUUUUUCGUAUAUAUUGUCAGUAUGAUCCAUCAUGAGUGAGUUUGGAUUUGUUUUGUGCAUGUUAGUGUUUAGUCGAAUGUGGUUGGUAAAUGAUAUAUGCUGUAGACCUAGCUCCUAUAAACAUGAAAUGGGUUUUCCAUUGUUCAAAUAUCCCCAUGGUAAAAAAGACUUGUAGAAAAGAUAACUUUUAUACACAUUGGAUGCCAAAAUUGGAAGGGGUGACUAACCCUGACCUGCUAAUAUAAUGUGUUAAGGGCUGUGAUAAUAUGAAGGGGGACUAGCCAUGACCUGCUAAUAUAAUGUGCUCAAUCUUACGUUUGAAGUCGAUUCUCAGACGACACGUUUAGAUUAGUUCAAGCCAUGUUUCUUUUGUCAUAAUACAUGUAGUCAUCUCUUUCAUAUAUUUGUUAUGCUGCUUAAGUGGUGCUCUUAAUAUAAAUGCCAUAGGCGUUGGUGCUAAGUAAAUUCCAUAUGUUGGCACUGAUAUGCAGCAACAAACAAUGUCGGUGAUUUACCUUAGCAUUCUUUAAGACAAUGUAGUGCAAAAGCACCUUAAAGGGAUCCAACGUUACUGUAAUGCAGAUGCAAAACUUAGAAAAAUGGCCUCUCAAUAUGUUCAAAAGUUGCGAAUGGCCAGCUAUCAAAAGAUCGAUCCACUCACGAAUUAGACAUGGAUGACCAAGCUAAAGUGUCCAGCUGUGGGUUGAGCGAAAUAAAAAGUCUUUGUUGUUCAAUCAUGAUUCAUAUGACGACGAUCCAUUAAAUUUUGGGAAUUCAAACUGAGUGGCAAGUGCAAUAGAUGAUAUAGUUUGGCAUCGCAACAGAUUCAACCUUUGGAUUAGACCAGCUUAGGUAACCUUUGUCCACGCUUCUUGUGCUUGAUUCAAGACAACAUACACUCAUUAUUAAUGUUCUGUUCCAAAACAUGAUUUACUCUCUCUGAGCUCAUAUUUACAGCGUGUGAUUAGUGGAUCCAAUACUUCACAGAAAGUUCUCACAUUUCAUGCACGUUGCUCGUACCAAGUAUGCAGCGUACUUUGCCGGAAUUCCUAGCACUUAUUUGCAAGAGGUGAUUGACGAGCUAAACCAAACACAAGACGAUGGAGAUUGAAGACGACGAUCAAGUUUGAAUUGUACAUUUUUAUUCAAUUAUUUUAGAAUUUUAGUUUUAGUCGAUAGCAUUUGAUUAUAGAAACUUUAUUUUUAAGACAUUGGAAGAAAUAGAUGUUUUGAGUGAAAUUGGUUUUGUAUAUGAAUUAAAUGUUGUAAAGAUUUAUUUUGACAUGAUGAAUAAAGCAAAAAGGAAUUUCUAUUUAAUAAUAUUGUUGUAGCU